rnacentral:rRNA from 1 species
CGGGGGGGCAAGCGUUGUUCGGAAUUACUGGGCGUAAAGGGCUCGUAGGCGGCCAACUAAGUCAGACGUGAAAUCCCUCGGCUUAACCGGGGAACUGCGUCUGAUACUGGAUGGCUCGAGUUUGGGAGAGGGAUGCGGAAUUCCAGGUGUAGCGGUGAAAUGCGUAGAUAUCUGGAGGAACACCGGUGGCGAAGGCGGCAUCCUGGACCAACACUGACGCUGAGUGAGCGAAAGCCAGGGGAGCAAACGGGAUUAGAUACCCCGGUAGUCCUGGCCCUAAACGAUGAAUGCUUGGUGUGGCGGGUAUCGAUCCCUGCCGUGCCGAAGCUAACGCAUUAAGCAUUCCGUCUGGGGAGUACGGUCGCAAGGCUG